rnacentral:lncRNA from 1 species
AAAUCAAGCCCCAAAUUUAAUCCACAUUGCAAUCCAGUUUCAUGGAUGGAAGAAUUACAACAUAAAUUGAACUCACACCCUUGCCACAUCCCUUAUGUGAAAUCAAUAAGGCAUUGAUUGAAAAAGAGAGGGACCCCCAGAUGGGAAUAAGAGUUCCGAUUAAUCUGAGAACCUCAAACUCCCAGCUCCCCUCAAGCCUCCUUUGCCUCUGUGUCCCUAUUUGAAGCAACCAACCUCCCUUUGCUUGAAGAUUCUAUAAUAUUAAAAGAUAUUGAGGUGGUGAGUCUGUGAGUUCUAUCACACUUUGUAUGUUUCCGUUUAAUUUGCCUGUGUCCUGUGCAGAAAGGAGGAUUGAUCUUGGAGAGAGAUCAUGAGUUAUUAUAAACUUGCUCAGGUGGUGGCACCUGCUAUUCCAGAUGUCACAUCUCUCCUGGAGGAGAAAAUCAGCACAGCUCCUGGAACUACAUGCAGCUAUUGUUCUGGCAACUACCAGAAGGAGUUCACUGUAACUCACAGCAGGGACAACAGGAUAUCCUGUCGUGCUUCAGAGCUGUGUCAACUCUCCUGCUAGGACAAAAUCUAGACUGAAGGGACUUGGUGACUUAUGACAUCAUGGACAUCAUGCUGAUUCACCAGACUGUUGACAUCAUGCAGAAUGCACUUGCCGUGCAGGAAGUAGACAGUACCUAAGAAGCUGUAACAAGACAUAUGCAUGCCAGAUGGUGGGAGUAAACCCCAUUAAAGUCCAGGAGGCUGACACCUACAUGAAGGUUCUGGGGUCCAACAUUCUGGGGCACACUUGGAUAUUGUUUCUAUAGUGACGGACAACUGGCACUGCCUUCCAAGGGGCAGACACAGCAACAGACCUGCAAGGAUUGGGCUUUUCUCCUCCGUAUGUGUCAUCCUCUGGACAAGGAUGCCACAAGGUCACUUGCAUUCCACAAACCUAGAAUAGACUCACAGGCCCAGGCCACCGCCUGUUAACUUCGAGCUGACCUUCGUUUUCAUAGGAUGUUUUUGUGCCAUGUGUGGUGGGAAGGAGGGAGCACGGGCUUCCUGGGCAGUUUGCUUGCAGCUGUCGGCAUUUUCCAAUUUCAUGGCGCCCUCCAGAGCUGCCUGGCUUCCUCCAGCCUUUGGAUCACCUCCCUGCCCAGGUUGGAGAAGGAGGUGACCGGAGCGGCUUGAGCCCUUUGAGCCCCCGACUUCUACAGCUAACCUUUCCUGCCCUGGUGAGUCAUCUCCCAAGCCGAGCCUCCCUCUUUUUGGUGGAAGCUCUUGAAUUUACUCAGGAUUUGAUUUGAAUAAGGCCACCUUAAUAAAGGACUAUGCAUCCCACCUGGGAUGAUGAAAAAAACUUUUUGUCUUUUCUGGUAAGUUCUUUCUGGUAUAAAGACAUAUGUCUCUCUGAAUACUCUUGAUUUCUACAGAAUUUACAUUCUGUCUGUGAGGCAUAUCUUUUCUGGUGAAUUCGCGUUUAGUCUGCACGCCUAGUUUAAUAGUUUGUUUGAUCUGCAUGUCUGGGUUAAAACUUUUGUGAACACCCGUAUCUUGGUUUCUUUUGAUUUGGUUUGAUUCUUUUCUCUUACCUGUUUCUAAAAAUCUUUCAGAAGCAAAAGUAAACAUUCUGAAUGAUGCACACAGAAUUACUAAUUAAAAGCCACUAGGAUGGUUGCCAUCAUUUAAAACACUGACCUGAACUUCCCACAUUCCCUGACAGGAUAAAUAAGAUUUGCUUUGCUUUUGAGAGAUUAAUAAGAAAUGGAAUGGGAUUCUCAAACAUUAAGACAUGCCAGGUUUUCUAGGAGUCCAGCUGGCUACAUAUUAUGGCCCAUUCUUCUGCACAUUUUUAAAUUGAUGGGCAAAUUACAUCAAGCAAAAUUCAAAAGUCAAGAGAUCAUUAAUUGAACUUAAUUUUAAAAAACCUGCAACUAUAGAGUUAACAUGUAGAGCCUUCUAAGUUCUCUAUCUCUCUCUAUUUUUUUCUCUGCCUAC